rnacentral:tRNA from 1 species
GGUGGCGUGUCCGAGCGGCCUAAGGAGCACGCCUCGAAAGCGUGUGAACGUGAAAGCGUUCCGUGGGUUCAAAUCCCACCGCCACCG